rnacentral:rRNA from 1 species
CCUACGGGGGGCAGCAGUGAGGAAUAUUGGUCAAUGGGCGCGAGCCUGAACCAGCCAAGUCGCGUGAGGGAUGACGGUCCUACGGAUUGUAAACCUCUUUUGCCGGGGAGCAAGCGUGCGUUCGUGAACGCACGUCGAGAGUACCCGGAGAAAAAGCAUCGGCUAACUCCGUGCCAGCAGCCGCGGUAAUACGGAGGAUGCGAGCGUUAUCCGGAUUUUUUGGGUUUAAAGGGUGCGUAGGGGGGAUGCCAAGUCAGCGGUAAAAAUGCGGGGCUAAACCCCGGCGAGCCGGUGAAACUGGCGUUGUGGAGUGGGCGAGAAGUAGGCGGAAUGCGUGGGGGAGCGGUGAAAUGCAUAGAUAGCACGCAGA